rnacentral:rRNA from 1 species
UACGUAGGAGGCGAGCGGUGUCCGGAGUUACUGGGCGUAAAGGGUGCGCAGGCGGCCGAUCGCGGUUUGCGGUGAAAGCUCCCGGCUUACCUGGGAGAGGGCCGUGAAGACGGGUUGGCUUGAGGCUCGGAGAGGGACGUGGAAUUCCGGGUGGAGCGGUGAAAUGCGUAGAGAUCCGGAAGAACACCGACGGCGAAGGCAGCGUCCUGGCCGAGGCCUGACGCUCAGGCACGAAAGCGCGGGGAGCGAACAGG